AUUGAACGCUGGCGGCAUGCCUUACACAUGCAAGUUUAACGGUAACACGGAGCUUGCUCCGCUGACGAGUGGCGAACGGGUGAGUAAUUUAUCGGCACGUACCUUUUCGUGGGGGAUAACGCAGCGCAAGUUACGCUAAUACCGCAUAUUCUCUGUGGAGGAAAGCAGGGGACCUUCGGGCCUUGCGCAUAUCGCUCGGCUGAUAUCAGAUUAGCAAGUUGGUGAGGUAAAGGCUAAGCAAGGCAACGAUCUGUAGCGAGUCUGAGAGGAUGAUCCGCCAAACUGGAACUGAGACACGGUACAGACUCAUACGGGAGGCAGCAGUGGGGAAUGUGGGACAAGGGGGGCAACCCUGAUCCAGCCAUGACGCGAGAGUGAAGAAGGCCUUCGGGUUGUAAAGCUCUUUCGGCCGGGAAAAAAUCGCAUGGGUUAAUACCCUGUGUGGAUGAUGGUACCGGAAUAAGAAGCACCGGCUAACUACGUGCCAGCAGCCGCGGUAA
rnacentral:rRNA from 1 species